GCACAGAUGGGAUUUUUCAAAUGAAAACCAGAUGAAAGUAAACAUCAGUCUCACCAUCGAAACUAAAGUAUUCAGCUGGGUACUCUUCUCUGGUCCUGGAGCUUAGGACAAGACCUACUCCAGAAUUUGGAGCCACAGUGGAAUCAGGUAUGAAAAUGCUGAGGACUCAGUGCAAACGUCCUGACCCACCUGAAACAACUCAAGCCAUUUUUGAUACUGCUGGUCCUAGAAUUUCAGUGUGACUGCUACUGGUAGAAUGAAUGCUCCACCAUCUCUGCUCCUUAGCAAACACCAAUCAAAAGCCUGAAGUGGGAGAAACUGCUUGGCAAGAUUGACUGGAAAACAAAACAAAACAAAACAAAACGAUAAAACAGGAAAUUCACCUUGAGAAAAACAUCAAGCA